CAGCAGCCGCGGUAAUACGUAGGGUGCAAGCGUUAAUCGGAAUUACUGGGCGUAAAGCGUGCGCAGGCGGUUAUAUAAGACAGAUGUGAAAUCCCCGGGCUCAACCUGGGAACUGCAUUUGUGACUGUAUAGCUAGAGUACGGCAGAGGGGGAUGGAAUUCCGCGUGUAGCAGUGAAAUGCGUAGAUAUGCGGAGGAACACCGAUGGCGAAGGCAAUCCCCUGGGCCUGUACUGACGCUCAUGCACGAAAGCGUGGGGAGCAAACAGGAUUAGAGACCCGUGUAGUCCCUGUCUCUUAUAA
rnacentral:rRNA from 1 species